rnacentral:lncRNA from 1 species
UUGGUUUAACGAGGUGUAGCCAUAAGUGAAUUACAAUCUUAAUAACCCUUAUAUAAUUAUUAUACUAAUAAGAAAUAACGAAAAUUACAAAAUAGAAUGAAAAAAAAAACAGGCAAAACAAAAAAAAACAGAAAAAUAAAAAGGUGUCUCACAAAAUUCACCGUAAAGGGAGCAAAAACUAAAAACAAAUAGGAUAAUAAAGUAACAAGACAUAAGCGUCCAAACUUUCUUUUUAAGAUCAUAUAUUUCCAUUUGCUUUCUUUUUUCGUUUUGAACUCUACAGAUUUCUACCUGCCAUUUUGGUCUAUGCUAACCACAAGCAUUACAAUUAUGGCAUCUUUCUCAUCUAUCAAAGAAUAAAUACUACUAAUUUUUUUUAGUAUAAAUAUCGACUAAACAAUAGGUGGAGUAAAAGUUAAAAAACUUAAGACUCUAAUACUCUUAAAAAAAAAAGGUUAAAAAAAUAUUUAAGACAUACUGUUGAUUUUAUUGCAGAUACCUAAAACUCUACACGUAUAUAAGAAAAAAGAAAGAUAAGGUAAAUAAUUUUAUUCAAACUAUAGUCACCAUGUAACUAUUUAGAGUUGUAGAAACUACUCUCAACUAGUAUAUUAUAUAUCCAAAAUACGGAUUGAACUGUUUUAACUAAUAAUUAAUUAAUUUGAUUAACUAUAAAUUCUUUAUCAAUGCCAAUAAUUAAUCCUAAACGUAAUUUAAUUUUUGUUUGUAUUUCAUGUUUUAUGAAAAUUUGAAAUGAGGAGCUAGUUUGUCCUUUAUAGUUAACACAAGUUGAAAAAAAAAAUCAG